GGCUCAAUCUCACGAGUGGAAAUCAAGAGUCAGACAUUUUUCCAGGGAAAUCUGACCUUAUCACCCUUACCUCGCCUGCAAGAUCAGGUCCAAGCUCCAUGGCCUGGCCAGAAGAAGCCAUCUCUCCCCAACCUGUUCAUCCUGUGGUUCCCCAGUCCGGAGGAACCCUCACACACACCCGACAGGCAGUGCCAUCUGCCUCAUGACCCUUCCUCGUGUCCUGCUUCCCACCCCACCCCCACCCCGAGCCCUUCACUUCCUCCUCUGGCCCAGCAGGGCACCCUGAAUGAAGCCAGCACCCACCAUGCUCUUUUCCUUCACCAUCUACGGGCACAAUUGCUACACAACAGGCACCACGUGCGACAAUGGGAUCUCUGGUGAGCCUGACACGGAGGCAACCCCUGCCCUAACAUGCAGCUAACCCCUGCAUGAACAGACAGACAGGACCAACUGCUUGAGCAUUAUGCAUUUCCCAACGGAGGGAAUGAAACGCAGAAAGGUCUCGUCUCAUGGGCCUCGCGCAAGACUGAACGAAGUCUUUGUUACCACUGCAAACAGGAGGCACAGGACGGUGUAACACCAGGACACGCAGUGAUCAGUGACCUGGCUAUCCUAAGGUGAGGAACAACUGGCUGAAAAGCAUGCUCAAGCAGCCCUCCCACCAGGGAGGCCCUCCACGUUGCUGCAUUUUCACUGACAACAUGACUUUGUUUUCUACGCCCCCUCAAGUUGUUCUCCUGAGGAAUGAAUCGCGUACUUGUCCACACCAGAGAAAACACAGGGCAGGUCAGUGGGGGGGCAGAGGCAGCACCUCCCAAGGUGGGGGGCAGUCGCUGAGAGGUUGAGACCUGGGUAGAGGUGGAGGGACAGGGAGGAGGGAGCAGCCAAGAGGACUGUCCAUGCUCAGAAACAGGCACACAGGGGUCAGAGCAGCGAGCAGAGAAGGGCUUCUCCACCAAGGCUGGCUUCUGGGAAGGCUGGGAGCUGGGAAGGCUGCUCUACCCCCACCGCCCCUGGGGUCCCUUCUCAACACACAGUAGGAGGCUUCCAAUACGUGGGCAACUCAGAGGCGGAGACCGGGACCGGGCAUGCCGCGGGUCACGUGCCAUGAGGAAGCGGUGAUGCUCUCAUCAGUGGAGCACGUCUGUACAGGUAGAGAGCGGACGGGGUACCAACCAUGCGCUGGUCAAUCCCAUGUUACCAAGGAGACUGAGGCCCUCGCAGGGCAGCUGCACAACCAUUCCCCGGGGGUACACAGCGAGAUAGCUGCUCCAGCCGUAGACAUGCCCAGAGCCGCUCUCGGGACUCGCCUCCUCACUCUCCUCACUCACCUGGAACCUGUGCACCAGCUCCAGGGACUGGCUGUCAUUCUGGUCGGCUUCGAGGAUG